rnacentral:pre_miRNA from 1 species
UUAUGAUACAUCACGUUCCCUUGUCACUUGUUCGUCCUGUUGGCUGCGUUUUCUCACUGGACGGAGAACUGAUAGGGCCCUGUGUGGAUCACGUG